rnacentral:lncRNA from 1 species
CGCGCAGCCAGCCACCGUGCACCAGUAGGAGUAAAGUCCUCGUUACUCCAUACACUUUAUUAUAACAUUUGCAUAAAUUGCAUUUAGUAAUGCAUUUAGUAAGUCCCCGUUAAAUGACUGUUAUUGCUUUAAUUUUUUAUAUAAUUUUUUUAAGUGAAAACACUUUUACAACAUGAUUAGAAUUAAAUAUUUUCAGAAAUCCAAAUCUAAUCCACUAGGAAAGAUAAUAACAAUUACGAAUAUUAAGUUCCAUAAUAUGGCCAUAUUUAGAUUUUAUUUUGAUAUUAUGAUUGUUAUAAUUUUGUAAGAUGGAGGACAAUGUUGGCGAAGUACAAAAGGCUAAUAAUGAAGUGCAAAUGACAGUUGAUUGAUGUUGCUGACCAGUAAGUUUUCUUUUUUUUAAAAAAACUAAUAUCUUAUUUAUAUAGAUUGUUUAUAUAAUUAUUUAUUGUUUUAAAAUUUUUUUUAUAGAUCCAAAUAUUGAUUUGGAAAAUGCCUAAAGUUGAUGUUGAUAUUGAUGAAGAUGGGAGAAUGUUGUUGGCAUUUGUUUGCAAUUUUUUUUUUUUUGGUGAAGAUGGGAGAAUCUUGUUGGCGUUUGUUUCCAAAUUUUCUUUUUAUUUUGUGUUGUAAGUUGUAAUUGUUGUUAUUUUUAUUUAUCUUUACAACAUUAUGAUUAUGUUUAUGUAGAUGGAGUUUGGAGUUUGGUUAUGUAUUUUGAAAUCUUAAUAUUUCAUAUUUUGUGAGUACCUUAUUAGUAGUUAGUAAGAUAUUAGUGAUAAAAUGUGUUUUGAAUACUUUGUAUUUAUUGUUAAUAUUUGUAAUGAAACUAGGAUGAACUAAUUGUUGAAAAA